UCCUCGAUUUACAUGCUAUCUCGCCGGUCAGACAGACGAGAGAGCAUGCAAAACGAGGAGA
rnacentral:pre_miRNA from 1 species